rnacentral:rRNA from 1 species
GAUGAACGCUGGCGGCGUGCUUAACACAUGCAAGUCGAACGGGGAUUACUUUUUAGCUUGCUAAGUUGUAAUUCUAGUGGCGGACGGGUGAGUAACGCGUGGGUAACCUGCCUUAUACCGGGGGACAACAGUUGGAAACGACUGCUAAUACCGCAUAAGCGCACGGGAAGGCAUCUUUCUGUGUGAAAAACUCCGGUGGUAUAAGAUGGACCCGCGUCUGAUUAGCCAGUUGGCGGUGUAACGGACCACCAAAGCGACGAUCAGUAGCCGGCCUGAGAGGGCAAACGGCCACAUUGGGACUGAGACACGGCCCAAACUCCUACGGGAGGCAGCAGUGGGGAAUAUUGCACAAUGGAGGAAACUCUGAUGCAGCGACGCCGCGUGAGUGAAGAAGUAUUUCGGUAUGUAAAGCUCUAUCAGCAGGAAAGAAAAUGACGUAC